GAUGAACGCUGGCGGCGUGCUUAACACAUGCAAGUCGAACGAUGAAGCCCAGCUUGCUGGGUGGAUUAGUGGCGAACGGGUGAGUAACACGUGAGUAACCUGCCCUUAACUCUGGGAUAAGCCUGGGAAACUGGGUCUAAUACCGGAUAGGAGCGUCCACCGCAUGGUGGGUGUUGGAAAGAUUUAUCGGUUUUGGAUGGACUCGCGGCCUAUCAGCUUGUUGGUGAGGUAAUGGCUCACCAAGGCGACGACGGGUAGCCGGCCUGAGAGGGUGACCGGCCACACUGGGACUGAGACACGGCCCAGACUCCUACGGGAGGCAGCAGUGGGGAAUAUUGCACAAUGGUCGCAAGCCUGAUGCAGCGACGCCGCGUGAGUGAUGACGGCCUUCGGGUUGUAAACCUCUUUCAGUAGGGAAGAAGCGAAAGUGACGGUACCUGCAGAAGAAGCACCGGCUAACUACGUG
rnacentral:rRNA from 1 species